UACGGAGGGUGCAAGCGUUGUCCGGAAUCAUUGGGCGUAAAGCGUUCGUAGGCGGUUUGCAUAGUCUGGUGUUAAAUCCCGGGGCUCAACUUCGGAUCUGCACUGGAUACUGGCAGGCUAGAAUGAGGUAGAGGUAAUGGGAAUUCCUGGUGUAACGGUGAAAUGUUUAGAUAUCAGGAGGAACAUCGGUGGCGUAAGCGCAUUACUGGGCCUUUAUUGACGCUGAGGAACGAAAGCUAGGGUAGCAAAC
rnacentral:rRNA from 1 species